UGCAGUCGAGGGGUAACAGGGAUUGCUUGCAAUCCGCUGACGACCGGCGCACGGGUGCGUAACGCGUAUGCAACCUACCUUUUACAGGGGUAUAGUCAAGAGAAAUUUUGAAUAACACCCCAUACGAUCAUUUUUACACCUGUAAAGAUGAAGAAAACUCCGGUGGUAAAAGAUGGGCAUGCGUCCUAUUAGUUAGUUGGUGAGGUAACGGCUCACCAAGACCGCGAUAGGUAGGGGUCCUGAGAGGGAGAUCCCCCACACUGGUACUGAGACACGGACCAGACUCCUACGGGAGGCAGCAGUGAGGAAUAUUGGACAAUGGAGGCAACUCUGAUCCAGCCAUGCCGCGUGCAGGAAGACUGCCCUAUGGGUUGUAAACUGCUUUUAUACAGGAAGAAACCUUGGUACGUGUACCAAGCUGACGGUACUGUAAGAAUAAGGAUCGGCUAACUCCGUGCCAGCAGCCGCGGUAAUACGGAGGAUCCAAGCGUUAUCCGGAAUCAUUGGGUUUAAAGGGUCCGCAGGCGGUCUUUUAAGUCAGAGGUGAAAUCCUAUCGCUCAACGAUAGAACUGCCUUUGAUACUGAAAGACUUGAGUUAUUGUGAAGUG
rnacentral:rRNA from 1 species